rnacentral:piRNA from 1 species
UCCAGCUGAUAGACACCACUUGUCUGUGU